UGCAAUGGUUAGGCAAGAGAUGAUGAGC
rnacentral:piRNA from 2 species